CAGAUUCUGCUCUGUUUUCUCUUUCUAGGGACAAAUGCCUUUGGAAUCCUGAUCUGACAUGAAAAAAGUUCACCUGAAGCUGCCAUCCUGGAAGACUAUGAGAUGGAGAUGCCCAAGAAGCCCCAGCCUUAGAAGAAAAACACAGCGACUUUGCCUUUGGUGAGAAUGCACUGGACAAUCUAAGCAGAGUCUGUUUUUCACUGGGCAGAUCUCCAGGUAUGAGUCUACCUCAACAACAUGGUGUUUGUCUCAUGAUGGAUGCUGCUCAGCCCUGAGACAGCAACUCAACUCAAAGGAAUUGCCCUGAGAUUUUGAGACUCUGUGGGAGGGCACAUGAUGGAACCUGUUGCUGAUCAGACACCUAAAAACCAAAACACACAAAAAAUCAUGUAGAAUGUACCUUAAA